rnacentral:rRNA from 1 species
AUGCACGCUGGCGGCGUGCCUAAUACAUGCAAGUCGAGCGAACAGAUGAGGAGCUUGCUCCUCUGACGUUAGCGGCGGACGGGUGAGUAACACGUGGAUAACCUACCUAUAAGACUGGGAUAACUUCGGGAAACCGGAGCUAAUACCGGAUAAUAUAUUGAACCGCAUGGUUCAAUAGUGAAAGACGGUUUUGCUGUCACUUAUAGAUGGAUCCGCGCCGCAUUAGCUAGUUGGUAAGGUAACGGCUUACCAAGGCAACGAUGCGUAGCCGACCUGAGAGGGUGAUCGGCCACACUGGAACUGAGACACGGUCCAGACUCCUACGGGAGGCAGCAGUAGGGAAUCUUCCGCAAUGGGCGAAAGCCUGACGGAGCAACGCCGCGUGAGUGAUGAAGAUCUUCGGAUCGUAAAACUCUGUUAUUAGGGAAGAACAAAUGUGUAAGUAACUAUGCACGUCUUGACGGUACCUAAUCAGAAAGCCACGGCUAACUACGUG